rnacentral:rRNA from 1 species
AACGCUAGCUACAGGCUUAACACAUGCAAGUCGAGGGGCAGCAUCAUCAAAGCUUGCUUUGAUGGAUGGCGACCGGCGCACGGGUGAGUAACACGUAUCCAACCUGCCGACAACACUGGGAUAGCCUUUCGAAAGAAAGAUUAAUACCGGAUGGCAUAGUUUUCCCGCAUGGGAUAAUUAUUAAAGAAUUUCGGUUGUCGAUGGGGAUGCGUUCCAUUAGGCAGUUGGCGGGGUAACGGCCCACCAAACCAACGAUGGAUAGGGGUUCUGAGAGGAAGGUCCCCCACAUUGGAACUGAGACACGGUCCAAACUCCUACGGGAGGCAGCAGUGAGGAAUAUUGGUCAAUGGACGAGAGUCUGAACCAGCCAAGUAGCGUGAAGGAUGACUGCCCUAUGGGUUGUAAACUUCUUUUAUACGGGAAUAAAGUUAGCCACGUGUGGCUUUUUGUAUGUACCGUAUGAAUAAGGAUCGGCUAACUCCGUGCCAGCAGCCGCGGUAAUACGGAGGAUCCGAGCGUUAUCCGGAUUUAUUGGGUUUAAAGGGAGCGUAGGCGGACGCUUAAGUCAGUUGUGAAAGUUUGCGGCUCAACCGUAAAAUUGCAGUUGAUACUGGGUGUCUUGAGUACAGUAGAGGCAGGCGGAAUUCGUGGUGUAGCGGUGAAAUGCUUAGAUAUCACGAAGAACUCCGAUUG